AUCAUUUCUCAGCCUUUUGGCCAAGCUCGAGCCAAAGUAGUAUCUUUUCUUAGCAGUUUAAGAUCUGAUAGGUCCUGGAGCUGAAGACAAUAUACUCAAUGGAUUUGGGGAGCAGGGAGAGGGAAUACGGGUUGCUACAUCCACCCUGCGCAUGACCCAUGUUGCAGGAAUGGUGCAUACACA